UACGGAGGAUGCGAGCGUUAUCCGGAUUUAUUGGGUUUAAAGGGUGCGUAGGCGGACGCUUAAGUCGGCGGUAAAAUUGCGGGGCUCAACCUCGUCGAGCCGUUGAAACUGGGUGUCUUGAGUGGGCGAGAAGUACGCGGAAUGCGUGGUGUAGCGGUGAAAUGCAUAGAUAUCACGCAGAACUCCGAUUGCGAAGGCAGCGUACCGGCGCCCAACUGACGCUGAAGCACGAAGGCGUGGGUAUCGAACAGG
rnacentral:rRNA from 1 species